GGGGGCGAUCGGUUUCGACGGAGAUGACGACUUCCUAGCUGCGUGCCGUGGGUCUCGUGAACCACGUAAAUCCUCAUGGGGACGUUAAUUGCGAACGACAACGCAAUCGCUCUCGCCGCCUAAAAAACGGUAGAGCCGUCCGACCCGAAGCCCGUCAGAGCUUCGGCGAGGGCGUCAUCGAUCUGACUAGCCAAAGCCCGGGUUGCCGGGGCCUACGGCGAAAAUAAACAGGCAAAUUGGCUCGGAGAAAGGCUGCUGGCCGUCGCGCUCCGGGGUGAAAUUAAACGACCAGAUACGCACGUAGAAGCAGCAAGCGCGUGAUUUUCGGACCCGGGUUCGAUUCCCGGCGCCUCCACUG
rnacentral:tmRNA from 1 species